rnacentral:rRNA from 1 species
GAUGAGCGCUGGCGGCGUGCCUAAUACAUGCAAGUCGAGCGAACGGACGAGAAGCUUGCUUCUCUGAUGUUAGCGGCGGGCGGGUGAGUAACACGUGGAUAACCUACCUAUAAGACUGGGAUAACUUCGGGAAACCGGAGCUAAUACCGGAUAAUAUUUUGAACCGCAUGGUUCAAAAGUGAAAGACGGUCUUGCUGUCACUUAUAGAUGGAUCCGCGCUGCAUUAGCUAGUUGGUAAGGUAACGGCUUACCAAGGCAACGAUGCAUAGCCGACCUGAGAGGGUGAUCGGCCACACUGGAACUGAGACACGGUCCAGACUCCUACGGGAGGCAGCAGUAGGGAAUCUUCCGCAAUGGGCGAAAGCCUGACGGAGCAACGCCGCGUGAGUGAUGAAGGUCUUCGGAUCGUAAAACUCUGUUAUUAGGGAAGAACAUAUGUGUAAGUAACUGUGCACACCUUGACGGUACCUAAUCAGAAAGCCACGGCUAACUACGUG